rnacentral:rRNA from 1 species
AAUGGCAGGUACAGAGGGGUGCUACCGGGUGACCGGAUGCCGAUCUCGAAAACCUGUCCCAGUUCGGACUGGAGUCUGCAACCCGACUCCACGAAGUUGGAUUCGCUAGUAAUCGCGCAUCAGCCAUGGCGCGGUGAAUACGUUCCCGGGCCUUGUACACACCGCCCGUCAAGCCAUGGGAGCCGGGGGCGCCUGAAGUCCGGGACCGCGAGGACCGGCCUAAGGCGAAACUGGUGACUGGGGCUAAGUCGUAACAAGGUAGC